AACGAACGCUGGCGGCAGGCUUAACACAUGCAAGUCGAGCGCCCCGCAAGGGGAGCGGCAGACGGGUGAGUAACGCGUGGGAAUCUACCCAUCUCUACGGAAUAACGCAUGGAAACGUGUGCUAAUACCGUAUACGUCCUUCGGGAGAAAGAUUUAUCGGAGAUGGAUGAGCCCGCGUUGGAUUAGCUAGUUGGUGGGGUAAAGGCCUACCAAGGCGACGAUCCAUAGCUGGUCUGAGAGGAUGAUCAGCCACACUGGGACUGAGACACGGCCCAGACUCCUACGGUAGGCAGCAGUGGGGAAUAUUGGACAAUGGGCGCAAGCCUGAUCCAGCCAUGCCGCGUGAGUGAUGAAGGCCCUAGGGUUGUAAAGCUCUUUCACCGGUGAAGACAAUGACGGUAACCGGGGAAGAAGCCCCGGCUAACUUCGUGCCAGCCGCCGCCGUAACAC
rnacentral:rRNA from 1 species